CUGGUUCCUAAGACUGUGGGCAUCUGCAGAGACAGUGAUGUCACUUAGGGAACUGCUUCAUGGGGACAGGAACACCCUCUGCUCAUCUGCAACUGCUCACAAGAAUCCUGAUCUGGUGGCCCUCCCAUCCUGCCCGACCCUGCCAUGGGCACCUGGCUCCUCAUCUGGGCAUCCCUUUGUCUUAUGGAGGCAGAACUCAAAGAAGCUGGAGUUGUCCAGUCUCCUGGAUACAAGAUAGCAGAAAAAAGACAAGCCGUGGCCUUUUGGUGUGAUCCUGUUUCUGGACACAAUAUUCUUUACUGGUACCGGCAGAUGCUGGGAAAGGGCCUGGAGCUUCUGAUUCAAUUUCAGAAUGAGGCCAUAAUUGAUGAGUCCCAACUGUUCAAGGAUAGAUUUUCUGCAGAGAGGCUCAAAGGAGCAGAUUCUACACUCAGGAUCCAGCAAGCAAGGCUGGGGGACUCAGCCACUUACCUCUGUGCCAGCAGCAGCCACAGCAUCACAGAGACGUCUCCUCCUGUGCACAAAACUGACUCUCUCUACUCAGCUGACAUGAACCCUAAACAGAGGCCUCACCCCAUCCAAGGGAAAGAAGUGGGUUUGUAGACACAGGCUAUGAUUUAUAUAGUGGGAGGGAAGGGUUCUUUCUUGAAACCUGAGGGCUGCAAAUGUUGUUUGCAAAUUAUUAUGACUUGGGGAUUUGAAGCUCAUAUCAACUCAAGAAACAAAAACUGAAAAUGACUUACCAUAGACUUAUCCUCAAGGGUAGUGAUAGUUUUUCUCCUAUAAAAAUACAGAGUCACAAAUUAUGUACAAUAAACCUAACAAUACAGAUGGUGAUUAUAUGUGAGUAACAAGCAGCAGGCUCCCUCUCCCUAGUUGUCACUGUCAAAAUGAUUUGAAUGUUGCCCUUGGUUACAUCCUCAUUCUCUAGCUCCUUCUGUGCCCUGACACUGGAUGUUUUUAUGCAACAAAGUUUCAGCAUAGUGUGUGGGUGUUCGGAAAUAUUUUCCUCUGUUUUUAUGGCAAUAUGUUAAUGUGUUAGUGAUAAAUUUAUUUGGAAUUUUAAUUUUCUUUGCAUUUUAAUGACAUAUUCUUAGCCUGUGAUUUGUUUGAUACUUAAAUGACAUGGAGAUUUUAUAAUUAAAAUUUGA